UUCUUUUCUCAUCGAUCCGUGGAGCAGAUAAGACGAAAAAUUUUCGCUUGCUACGAGCUCGCUUUUUUCUUGAGAAAACGCACAUUGACACACGUAGGUGUUGUGAGUAUAAUUUGCCUGGAAGGUGCACA